rnacentral:lncRNA from 1 species
ACCACCACUAAAGCGACAUUUUCAAAAAUACAUGGGAAAUUGCCAAAAAUACUAUUUUCAAGGUACCACUUUUCAUGUUUACAUAACCACCUUUACCCUCUUCUUUAAUGUAGGGUAAAAAACAUUUAUAACCUUUUGAUUACCUUUCACAAAAAAAAAACAUAAAGUUAACUAAUCUAAACUUAAAACAUCAACCCUAAACCAUGAAACAUCAACUCUAAACCCUAAACCCCGAAACAUCAACUCUAAACCCUAAACCCUAAACCUUCAAAUCAAAAACCUAAAACAUCAACUCUAAACCCUAAACGUAAACCCUAAACCCUAAAUCUAAAUUUAAAACAUCAACUUUAAACCCUAAAUCAUCAACUCAAAACCCUAAACACUGAAACAUCAACUCUAAACCCUAAACCUUCAAAUCAAAAACCUAAAACAUCAACUCUAAACCCUAAACGUAAACCCUAAACCCUAAACCUUAUAUUUUUCUGAAAUUCGAACCCUAAACCAUAAACCGUCAAAUCUAAACCCUAAAACAUCAACUCUAAACCCUAAACAUAAACCCUAAACCCUAAAUCUUCAAAUCUAAACCGUAAAACAUCAACUCUCGGGUUUUAGGGUUUAGGGUUUAGGAUUUAGGGUUUAGAGUUGAAGGUUUAGGGUUUAGGGUUUAGAGUUGAUGUUUUAGGGUUUAGGGUUAAUUUUUUAGGGUUUAGGGUUUAGAGUUUACUUUUUAGGGUUUAGGGUUUAGUGUUGAUAGUUUAGGGUUUAGUAAAAGUUUUUUGCCACUUAAUGAAGAAAGUAUUUUUGAAAAUAUCCCUUUAGUGGUGGUAUAAAUGAAAAGUGGUAGCAUGAAAGUGGUAAACAUGUAAUUUCCCCAAAAUAUAUUCUUCAUUAAGUGGCAAAAGACUCUUAUGCUAUUGUUCUUUAUAUAUAUAAUAAAUAAAUAAAAAAUCUAAAAAAAAUAAAAAAUAAUUUUUUUCGAAUUAUACUUUUUCGAAAUUCAAACCCUAAACCCUAAAACUCAACUCUAAACCCUAAACCAUCAAUCCCAAACCCAAUUUUUUUUAAAAAAUACAAACCCUAAACCCUAAACCAUCAAUCCUAAACCCUAUACUUUGUCUGAAAUACGAACCCUAAACUCCGAAACAUCAACUCUAAACCCUAAACCCCGAAACAUCAACUUUAAACCCUAAACCCUAAACCUUCAACUCUAACCCCUAAAACAUCAACUCUAAACCCUAAACCCUAAACCUCAACUCUAAACCCUAAACCAUCAACACUAAACCCUAAACUAUCAACAAUAAACCCUAAACCCUAAAAAGUAAACUUUAAACCCUAAACCCAAAAAAAUUAACCCUAAACCCUAAACUCUAAACCCUAAAUCCUAAACCCUAAACUCUAAACCCUAAAACCCUAGAGUUGAUGUUUUAGGGUUUAGAUUCAAAGGUUUAGGGUUUACCUGCAAUUUUUGCAGUAAAAUUCCACCAUUUCAACAUCUGUGAUCACCAUUGUAGUGAACUCACAACGCUUCCUGCAGAAAAUAUCAAAACAAAAAAAAAAGACCAUGACUAAACUAAGAGUAUGGUACACAGAACUUGACAGUGAUUAAUGGACAUUACGCAUCAGAUUGCAGUAACAUCUUAAUUAAGAUCACGAAGCUAGGAGUAAAGCCAGAAAUUCACAUAGCUUUUCUCAAUCAAAGUUGAAAUCUUUUUAGUAAUCCAAAAACACAUCAUAAUCACUCUUAUAUAUGAUUUAACUUCAGAGAGUGAGAGACAGAGAGGUGACCAGUGGUGAUUUAUUCUGGCUGGAACAAAGAACACACGGUUCGGAGAAGCGAUAUGGUGGUGACGAGCGAUGGUGGUGGUCGUGACGAGCGAUGUGGUGGUGGUGGUGGUGGUUGUGACGAGCGACGGUGUCAAAAAGAGGGUGGUCGUGAGGCUUCAAUCGACCUUCUCUAUUCUCUCCGUCUCUCUAGCUUCUCUGACUCAACGAGAUAUGUUCAGAUUUGAUAAAGAUAAUUAAAAAAAAAAUUAAAAAAUAACAAUUAACCUCAAGUGUUAAUUCAAUCAUCCAAUGGUUCAAAUGGGUGAUCCAUGCCAUAAAUAAUCCUAACCAAUAGAAAAAAAAGGUGAGGAUAGAUAGAAGAUUGAUUUUGGGCAUUUGAUCCAAAUCAAUCAAGGGUUCAAAAAAAAACAAUACAAAUUAUUUUUUAUAUAUUUAUAGUUAUGACAAAAAAAAUAUCCAAACAUUAAAUAAUUUGAUAUCAAAAUUUGAAAAUCUUAAAUCUAAAUUUUUUAUUUGAAUAUUGUUGUUGUGUGAUUGACUAAAAUAUUAAAAUAAUAAAAUUUAAAUGAGAAUCUCUCUUUUGUUUUGUAUUUUUCUUGUUUAUUAUUUGGUGGUUUAAUUAUAGUUUGUAAAUGUAUAAUUUGAAAUGUAGUAUAUAGUUUAGAGUAUUUUAUUUAAUUUAUAAAAAUUAUAAUUUAUUUAAAAAUUAUAAUUUAUUUAAAAAUUAAGAUUUAAUGUUUUAUUGUAUAGGUUACUAUGAGGUAUGUGGUUUAGGGUCAAGGGUUAUAGGGUCAAUAUUUGGAAUUAAGUAUAUGGGAGUUUUAGAAAAUACUUAGCUUAAGUUUCAUAUUUAUAUUAAAAGUUUGAAAGUAUUAGAUUUGUGACUUUGUAUGUAGUGUUUAAGUUUAGGGUUUAUGCAUUAUAUUUAGGGUGUAGAUUUAAGAUUUAAUGUUUGAUGUUUAGAAUUUAAAUUUGAAAUUAUAUUUUUUAAAUCACUAAGUUUAGAUUGAAGUUCUAUUAUUAAUAGAUUAAAGUUUAAAAAUGGAGAAAUUACAUGUUUACCACUUUCAUGCUACAACUUUUCAUUUUACCACCACUAAAGAGACAUUUUCAAAAAUACAUGGAAAAUUGCCAAAAAUAUCAUUUUCAAGGUACCACUUUUCAUGUUUACAUUAACCACUUUUACCCUCAUCUUUAAUGAAGGGUAAAAGACAUUUAUAACCUUUUGAUUACCUUUCACAAAAAAAAAAAACAUAUGGUUAACUAAUCUAAACUUAAAACAUCAACUCUAAACCCUAAAUCAUCAACUUUAAACCCUAAACCAUGAAACAUCAACUCUAAACCCUAAACCCGAAACAUCAACUCUAAACCCUAAACCCUAAAACUUCAAAUCAAAACCCUAAAACAUCAACUCUAAACCCUAAACGUAAACCC